rnacentral:rRNA from 2 species
CAAUGCAAGUCGAGCGGACCGACGGGAGCUUGCUCCCUUAGGUCAGCGGCGGACGGGUGAGUAACACGUGGGUAACCUGCCUGUAAGACUGGGAUAACUCCGGGAAACCGGGGCUAAUACCGGAUGCUUGAUUGAACCGCAUGGUUCAAUCAUAAAAGGUGGCUUUUAGCUACCACUUACAGAUGGACCCGCGGCGCAUUAGCUAGUUGGUGAGGUAACGGCUCACCAAGGCGACGAUGCGUAGCCGACCUGAGAGGGUGAUCGGCCACACUGGGACUGAGACACGGCCCAGACUCCUACGGGAGGCAGCAGUAGGGAAUCUUCCGCAAUGGACGAAAGUCUGACGGAGCAACGCCGCGUGAGUGAUGAAGGUUUUCGGAUCGUAAAACUCUGUUGUUAGGGAAGAACAAGUACCGUUCGAAUAGGGCGG